rnacentral:rRNA from 1 species
CUAGUAUAGCAUUUAUACAGUGAAACUGCGAAUGGCUCAUUAAAUCAGUUAUCGUUUAUUUGAUAGUUCCUUUACUACAUGGAUAACCGUGGUAAUUCUAGAGCUAAUAUAUGUUUACAGCCUCGACUUCUGGAAGAGGUGUAUUUAUUAGAUAAAAAAUCAAUGCCUUCGGGCUCUUUGAUGAUUCAUAAUAACUUUUCGAAGCUCAUGGCCUUGUGCUGGAGCUGGUUCAUUCAAAUUUCUGCCCUAUCAACUUUCGAUGGUAGGAUAGUGGCCUACCAUGGUUUUCACGGGUAACGGGGAAUAAGGGUUCGAUUCCGGAGAGGGAGCCUGAGAAACGGCUACCACAUCCAAGGAAGGCAGCAGGCGCGCAAAUUACCCAAUCCUGACACAGGGAGGUAGUGACAAUAUAUAACGAUACAGGGCCCUUAUGGGUCUUGUAAUUGGAAUGAGUACAAUGUAAAUACCUUAACGAGGAACAAUUGGAGGGCAAGUCUGGUGCCAGCAGCCGCGGUAAUUCCAGCUCCAAUAGCGUAUAUUAAAGUUGUUGCAGUUAAAAAGCUCGUAGUUGAACUUUGGGUCUGGUUGACCGGUCUGCUUUUGGCACGUACUGGAUUCAACCGGGCCUUUCCUUCUGGCUAACCUUCACUUUUGUGUUGGCAAACCAGGACUUUUACUUUGAAAAAAUUAGAGUGUUCAAAGCAGGCCUUUGCUCGAAUAUAUUAGCAUGGAAUAAUAAAAUAGGACGUUAUGGUUCUAUUUUGUUGGUUUCUAGGACCAUCGUAAUGAUUAAUAGGGACGGUCGGGGGCAUCAGUAUUCAGUUGUCAGAGGUGAAAUUCUUGGAUUUACUGAAGACUAACUACUGCGAAAGCAUUUGCCAAGGACGUUUUCAUUAAUCAAGAACGAAAGUUAGGGGAUCGAAGAUGAUCAGAUACCGUCGUAGUCUUAACCAUAAACUAUGCCGA